CAAGGCGACGAUCCCUAGCUGGUCUGAGAGGAUGACCAGCCACACUGGAACUGAGACACGGUCCAGACUCCUACGGGAGGCAGCAGUGGGGAAUAUUGCACAAUGGGCGCAAGCCUGAUGCAGCCAUGCCGCGUGUAUGAAGAAGGCCUUCGGGUUGUAAAGUACUUUCAGCGGGGAGGAAGGUGUUGUGGUUAAUAACCGCAGCAAUUGACGUUACCCGCAGAAGAAGCACCGGCUAACUCCGUGCCAGCAGCCGCGGUAAUACGGAGGGUGCAAGCGUUAAUCGGAAUUACUGGGCGUAAAGCGCACGCAGGCGGUCUGUCAAGUCGGAUGUGAAAUCCCCGGGCUCAACCUGGGAACUGCAUUCGAAACUGGCAGGCUUGAGUCUUGUAGAGGGGGGUAGAAUUCCAGGUGUAGCGGUGAAAUGCGUAGAGAUCUGGAGGAAUACCGGUGGCGAAGGCGGCC
rnacentral:rRNA from 1 species